UGCUGCUGACCUAAUUGAGCAGCCUCGACGUUCAGUCGUUUGAGGCUCGCGUUACGCACUCGCCUGGUUUCGGCUCGGAUUAACCUCUGAAAAGGACUCUAACAAUUAGUGGAACAAUGACAGUAGGAAAGGCCUCGUCCUCCCCCCCCCCCCCCCCCCCGAGGGGGGGCGCAUGCCAAAAAAAAAAAAUCAUUAGCAACAAUAUACAAAAGGAUAUUGCACCCAGACAUGUGAUGGAAACCCCGCCCUGCUAUUCUACAUUAACCUAGUGUUUAGGACGCUCAGUAGUUACGUCACUGCUGCUAUGAGAAUGUGCCUUCCUCCUUCCUGCUGAUGGAUCUGCAGUGAUGAGGCCCCGCUGGGUGGUCCUUAUCUGGGAGUCAGGAAACAGGGCCAGACCUAUAAACACCCCACUCACCGCAGAGGAAGCACCCGUGUAGAGAAACCACACCCCGAGUCGCUGCGAAGGAGCACGGGCAGAAAGAAAACAACUGGAACACGGCCGAAAAGACCGGCGUGUUCCAGUAAACAGCGGCGCGUCUGCGCCGCGCCGACGACGUGCGCUCCCUGAGUCACAUCAUCUGCUUAGCAACACGCACGCCGGGGGAGAGCAGGACAGCGCUGUGAUUGGGGGAGACGAGGACCCUCAGGACACGGAGCGCUAAUUGCGGCGCUGUUUUUCUCCUCCGCUUUUUAACAGUAGGCCGGCCACAGAAAAGGGGUUGCAUAACAGGAUUUCAUAGCAAACGCCCCUCCUCUUCUGUGACUCCCCCCCCCCCCCCAACACACACACACACACCCUCUUCCUAGCAAAUCUCUUCCUCUCCAUCCUCUCAUAACAGCUGGAGCCGAGCCAGAUGGUUCUGGGGCUAUUUUAAAGAUUACAGACAGACAGGAGAGGCAGAGAUUCUGGUCUUUUCCAUGUUUUUACCUCCAUUGUACAAAGUGCACCUUUAUUGCUGAAGCCCUUUUGUUGAUUGGUGUGGAGGUGUCAGCGCUGACCCCACCGGGGCCUCAGUGUGGCGAGCCCUUUGUGCCGCAGAGCUGGAGGAGCGGCUUCCAUAUUGGGACAACAUGUGCCGCGACCUCUGACCCCUCGCUCGGAGGCGGCGGCUCCGGAGCACCCGGAGAUUCGCUCUACGGCAGCACAAAGCAUUCCAGGCUCGCACACGUCUACAAAUAAGAGGAACAGAAAACAUGUUGGCACUGGCAGCCAGUGCACACAUGCACACCAACUGUUACUUUUUGUUCGGUCGCUCCUCCGGGCCAAAAAUUACACAUGCAAGUGUUUUGCUGUCUGACGGGGGCAGGGCAGACUUGGCUGGGGGAGCUGAGAAUAUUUGCAACACACACACGCACGCACGCACGCACGCACACACACACACACACACACACACACACACACACGGUGAUCUCACUCUGUGAGGGAAGGCGACCACCAAGUAUUUGUUGCCACGGGCCGAGAGUGUGUGUGUGUGUGUGUGUGUGUGUGUGUGUGUGUGUGUGGGAUCGGCAUUGGGGGUGGGAUUUGUUUUGCUUUGUGGGAGACGGGAGUGGGAAUUAAACAUAGUUGUUGGAUGAGUUUUUCGCUCAGUACAGUUUCCACAUAGUCCCGGAGAAAACAAAGAAGUGUUACGCAACGCUAAUGUUACUCAACCCUAAUUAUGGUGUUUCGUACGAACGCGAGGAAGAGCGCCGCGCUGCCAGGGUGUGUGCUGCACAGUCACCGCGCGUGCAGUGGGAACCUACAACCAAAUGCACAACUAUUUUGAUACUAUGGGCACAAAAGCGGGCUCCGCGACGUGCACGCUCGCGUGCGGGAGCGCACGUCCCCGGGAACACGUUGCAUGUUUGCACGGCUACGUCUGCCGUCCACGAUAACGCUCGAGUGACGCCCGGCGCGCUGAGCGGGAUCUGAUGUUUGUGUGCCCGGCGAGCGGGGGAUAAGUACAGUCCAGAAAUAGAAAUGUUUCAUGAAAACAUGAGAAUGGAGCGCGGCUCCACUGUAGGGGCCAGUUUCAUAAUCGCCCCCGGAGGAACCCGGGCCUGUCUGUUCCGUUCCCGCUCCCAUUUCGCCCCGAUUCGCCUCUGCAGCUCAAACGCGUUUAACCCAGUGUCAGCUCAGACUACUCCUCUCCUGUCAGGUUGCGUUUGCUGCAGCAGAGCGGAGGUCUCUUUUUUUUUUUUUUUUCCUGUCUGGGAAGUGGCGUGAACGCCGCCGCUGUGACGACGACUGAUUUCCAGCACAGGCAGCGGCGAUGGCCUCCCCUCUUCCGGAUCCCGUUCGCAGUGAAGCGCGUGUGUGAGUGUGCGAGGUGUGGCCGCCCGCAGAGGGGUUCCAGAGGAAGUGAGCUGCCGUGACCCGCCGCCGUCUGACUCACAACGCUCCCGAGCGUUCUCGCAGCGCUCGCGCCGGCUCACGGACUCCUCUUCUGGCAGGACUCCUUCGACCGGACUCGUCAGGGCUCACGGCGCAACGGAGAAUGUUUAUGUAAGCGGCCAGAAAUAGGCGGCGCGCGUUGUCGCGUUUAAUGUGAGUGACGAUGUCCCUGCACGGAGUCGAGCCACUUCUCAACUUUAUCAGACUCCUCUUCGUUCCUGUGCCAAAUUUCAAGGCGAUUCAUUUUAAAGGAUUUGGGCUAAUUUGAGCCGCUUAACCAGCGUUGCCGUGACCACCAGCACGACAUCCAUCGCCCCACACACGACUCCCAGUACUAAGCAUCACGGCGCACACUGUGACGACUCAGGCGCAAAAUUGAAUAACAUAUUUUAUAAUAUGAACGAGCAGCAUCUUCCGGCACACGCCGCGUUAUUACUGCAGAGCCGGGCGGUGAAUUCCGGAGGGGUGUCUCUGCUGACCUGACAUAAUGCCCCUUUCAUUACAUGCACAUAUUGAAUAUGUAAACUGUCCCGCGCGCACAAUGCGGCAUUUUCAAUAAAGUGAAAGCCAUACAUUAGAGCGCGAGCUGUUAAUCAGCGGGCGCUCUCGCCUGCGUGCAGACGGGCCGGUGCGACGCAGGUCCAACAGGAAGGUUCUGUGUGAUGCCGAGGGUGGAAUUGGUUUAUUGAGCUCACGAUUGGAGCCACUUCAGCCCCAGACUAAAGCAGAGUUAUUGUUCUUCUUUGUUCCCGUUAAACAGUCCACGUUAGAAGGAAAAACCGAUGCGCCGCAUGACAAACGACCAAUCAAACCCCACCUCUGCUCGCACGUCGCCGCCGCAACGUGCGAGCGCGGCCCGGCUCCAGCCUGAGCACCGGAUCAAUACUCAGCCAGACCAAUAGGCUUAUUAGAGCUGAAUGGCGAACAAAGCCGAUUAGCCGUCUCUCCGCGCCGAAAAGGUCACCGGCUCCAAGGUCACCGCGGAGCCGCCGGCCGGCCGGCCUCGGCGUCUCAGCACGUAUAAUUAGCAGAAUUAGACAGUGGGAACAUUAAUCAGCACUAUCUCUGCUCGCUCUGAACCAUGCGCAAUCCCGCGGACUUAGCCGCGUUUAGCUCCAACAACGCCGCUAGCUCUCCUGCGAAAAGCUGCCUCUUGAACCCGCUACGCGCAUCGCUAAUUAGCCCGACGAUAAGACCCGCGCUUAAAAGAAAGAUUAAUAGGAAGCUGCGCUCAGAAAUGUGUUGGAAAUGUCAACGAGCGGCGCAACUGUUCAUUUCCAAGUGUUGCUGCGGACAGAGGUGAGCGCUGACGGCGGGUCUGCGGCCGUCAAUGGAGCCAGUGUCCUCCAGUCAAAGGCUGCGGCAUUAAUGGAGAAGCCGCUUGGCUCGGUUUUGUUACCUUUUUACCAAAGAACAUGUCUGGUGAGCUGCCAAGAGACACUCGAGACUUUGUGAGCUCUGCCUCUAUAGGUGGUGUAAGGCUGCAUACAUGGGGGGAAUGAAAGAGACUUAUUCAUGCCUUCGGAGUCAUUUCAUGAUGAUGGGAACCAGAGGCUGCAUAAAUCUUUUUAAUCAGCAGCUUAUAGGCUUUCAGCGACUAGCAUAACUGUUCACUGGUGUGUAUACUGAGUUACUUAACAGCUUAUUUGCUUACAUUCAGAUGCAGUUAUUGAUGAUUAUUGACUCUUGCAUAAAACAAAUGGGACAAAAACAAAGGAGGCGGUUUCCGCCCAGUGAAAGGAGGUAAGACAAACACUGUGGCUUUCACGUGAAAACACAGAUGACUGUGUUGGAUUAGAAACGCAACGUUUCCAUGAGCCCCACACAUGUGACCACCAUCCUGAGACCGAAGAUGAAUGGGCUGCUCUUUCUCCUUUUUCAACGAGAUACGGGGCCUUGUGGGUUUUGAUCCCCCGCCUUGUGAAUAGAAGCCUCUCUGCUACAGUCCCUGUCCUGAAACCCAGUACUAAUGUGGGGGGGUAUGACCGCCUUGGUCCAUACAAAGGCCAUCUUUGACUGGGAGGCCUGUAAUGAUUUGGAGACGGGAGUGGAGCAGAGGCCAGGGGAAUAUCUGAUGACUCAGAGGCUGUGAAUGCAACUGUACACGGCUGUGUGAUUAAUGGAUGCAGCAUCAUCGCAGACUGGCCUUCAACCAGAGCUCUGAGAUCACCACCUCCACUCCUCCCCUUCGUCUUAUGUGGUGUGGAGCAGCCCAGGUUCAUCUGCGAGGAGGAAACAUAUACUUCACCAUGGAGAUUAUUUCCUUCCACACGUCAUCUGGGCAGCAGCUUUACAGCCAGCGAGGUGGUCAGAAACUGUGCGAGGCCUUAUUGAUCUGGAGCCUUAUGUCUCGUGUGCUGGCUCAGGGUUUAUUUGCAGCUGCUGUUACUGGAAACGGAUCCCUGGAGCGGUCUAGAUUCAGCUGAUCCAAUUAAAUGCUGUGAAUAAUUGAUCUGACAGUGAAACCGAGCUAUGUCACAUGGGGACAGUGACAUCAUCAUUUACGGGUUGAAACCCUACCCCUGUGCAGCUGGACUGCCCCGGGCCGUUUGUUCCACAAUCAGUCCACAGGAUCUUAUUACCACCUGUGAAGGACACGGACACGGAAACACACACACACACACACACACACACACACACACACACACACACACACACACACACACACACACUGAGCGGAAGGGGUGAUAACAAUGACAUUAUGCCGCACAGGAAAACUACAGGAGCACGAGAGACUUACUGGAAGGCCGACAACCCGUGAUGUUGUCACAUGUCUGUCCUGAGGUCUCCGAGUUCAGUGAGGUGUAGAUCCGGUCAGGUUAAACAGAACUUUCAGUGUUUCCUUGUUCAGUCUUUAUUUUAUCCCACAACGUUGCAGUCGCGUGAGCUGCUCUGCAUUGCGUGCAACGACGCCUGUUUCUAAACAAGACCUCCAUUUGAACCACAUGGACUUUGCGGUGGUCAAUUAUCUUCCUGGCCCUGAAAUCAGGUGCAAAUAGGAGCCAUCUUUGACCCCGGCCCUGCAGGAAGCUUGGGCUGCAAUAUCUAAUGAAAGCCCCUCCAGAGGGGUCUGCUGCUGCCACACAUCACCUUCUUAUCUAGAUCUGCGCCACAAAAAGGAAAACAAGGUUGUUCAACAUCCAACAUCUUGUCUGGAUUAGACUUGAAUUUUUGGGCAAGAAUUCUGGGCGGUUGGAACCCACGUUCCCUGAGUCCUCUGAGUUUCUGGCUGCUCCUGCUCAUGCUGGGUCGGUCCUUCUGAGCCGCUCACCCGACGGAGGUCUUUGUUUCACAGUGUCGUUCCCAGGUUUUGUCUUUUAGCCGCGUGAGAGGUGUGACAUUCGCCGAAGGGCUCUCUAAUGGGAUGAUGGCUCCCCUCCAGGAAAGUAAGAUCCUGUAGCGGUACCAGUCUGAUGGGGGGAAAGAUGAGAAGAUCACCACCACCUGUUCAGGAAUUCACUAGACUGCAUUUUCUUUUCUGGUUCAUUCCGUGAAGCCAACCUCACACCGUUGUUAGAUCUGAGGGGUGGUUUAGCAAUCAACCCACUGUAGCUCAGCAGCAGGAGCAUCUUGCCUCUCAUUCUGAACAUCUGCCAAUGCACGCGUCUACAUUAACGAUUAACACCUUAUGCCUCAUGAGUUUCAUCCGUCAAUCAGCACAAAGUCCAGUAUGUCGCCGCGCACACACACACAUUACACAUUACAGCAUUUCCACUUGCAGCAGCCACCAGUGAGACGUGAGGUGGAACGAAAUCUUUCGAGCAACACGCUGACAUGAGCUCGACCUCCCAAGAAAGGUCAUUUGGUGUUACCGUGGCAACAGAGAACACCACUGGUAUGUUAAAAAGGUAGUGAGGAGGGGCACUAAAUCCAAGGCUGUGGAAUUUCAGAGGGCGGGUGAUGCAUGCUGAAUAUUAAGAUACUCUCUCUCUAAACGCUCCUCUGUUCAUUACACCGGUCUGAUGUUCCAUAAGCAUUAACAUCUGUUAAAGCCCAGGACGCGCCACGACACAUCCAGCUCUCUGGACGAGCCGGGUAUUUUUAGACACGUACUCAUUAGUGCUGAGAGAUCAUUUGUAAUGAAGGACGUGUGGGGAGAAGGAAGCCAAUAACACGGUGAAAGAUGGUGUCCAUAUUCAAAUACCUGAGGAGCGAGUGGGUUUAACAGGCGCUGCAACGAGUGGAGGUGAGAUGUGAGGGGCAGGCCAAUCAAAGAUUUUCAGAGGAGGAUUGCAGUAAAAUACACGGGGCAAGGUCAAGGAAAUUAUACAGCACGGCCUGCAUUAUCCCAGAGCUUCUGAAACAUGGACAACACAUGCAGCCUCUGACUAAUUACAUGUUGCCUGGACUGGGAUCAGACCUAUUGUUCCUGCUGGGAUCAACAUUCCUCCAGUAACACGGCCGCGAUUCAAAUGAGCUCGUUGGUUUUAUGAACAGGGGGACAGUCAUUCAGAAUCACGCCUGGUGUCGAUUGAUGGACUCUGCUAAUUGAGAGCUGUCCAUACAUUCCUCUCUGAGGUGAUAUAUAUAUAUGUAUCCUGCAGUCAACAUGUAGCCUGUGUCCUGUUUUGGUCAUACAAUGGUGGUAGUGAAUUUUUUGGGGUUUUAUCGUUUUUUCUACAAUAGGAUUUUGAUUUAAUUUGCUGUAGGAGGGACAGUGAAAUGUGAUCUGUCUUCUUCCGUAGGUAGAAGUUAGAUUGAGUAAGAAUAUAGUGCCUUUGUCUCACCAAGUGAGGACACAAACACAGAUGGGGUGGUAGACAGCUCCACAGCUUCCCCUCAUCCAGCUCUCACAAGAUGUAGCCUGGUACAACAGUGCCCCCUGGAGGCCACGCUGGGUUUUACACAAACAGUGAACUUAAGGCAACCAAGGGCAAAUCCAGGUGUUUCUACAGAUUGAAAAUUAUUCCCAACAUAAUGUUUGUGUAAUGUCAUUAUCACGGUGUAAUUAGCUGAGCGUAUUUUCUAAUUACAAGGUGAUGCACUGAAUGCUAAAUGUGACAAAGAGAAAGACGACCGAGCAGCAGAAGUCAAGCAGGAGUCUGUUUUACUGAGCCCUGGUUGUUUGGUUGUUUGGCAGGAAACUUUACUGGCAUGUGGGUUCAGUCAUUGUUCUCCCAGGAAUCCAGCAGAUGGGGGAGAAACACAAUGAGGAGCCCAGAAGGGCAUACACUUAUGGCACAUAAAACCAUAAUAUUGUAUUGUAUAUGAAGGACCAAUUGUCUUAAAAAAACAGGAACCAACUAAAAGAAGAAAAAAGACGGUGUUUAAUACAGCAUGUUAUAAUUUGGAGAUUUGUUUUAUCAUAUUUGAUGUACAUGAGGCUCAUAACAAUCGCUUAAAUUCAUUAACAAAAUCACAAUAAUUUUACCAGUGUCACAGAGUGAAAUUUAUUAAGGUUCACUUCUUUCUUUCUUGCUAUUCUUCAUACCUCAGACAGAUUUUUCACAGUAAAAGUUCUCACUCAGAAUCACGACAAGAAUUGUCAUAGCUACCCAGUUAAUUCUAACACAACUCUAAUACCCAAAUACAAGUGGCAUCAGUCUCAUCAGUUGUCCUCUUGCAAACCUGCACAGACGAUAACUUUGUUUCUUUAAGCAGAUGAAACAAGAUAAAUUAGUUCUAGUGAUUCUGUCACGCAGGCGAGAUGCCAUGAACAGAAACGUAUGCAGGGGGCCGUCGCUGAAAGACUGUAGAGACAUGUGAUGUCAGCAAUCAAUACGGCUCCUUUGUCCAUGUCCAUCACUGGAGAUAAUACGGAGCAUUAAAAAAGCUCUUAGGAGCAGCAGCAUCUGUAAUGUUCUCCGCAGAAUGACAUGCCUGUAAUGAUAAAGCCCAGCAUGCGCUCAUACAGUCAAUAGUGCUUAGAGACCUUAAUGGUGAGUGUGAUUCAGACCACAGGGUGUUGAUUUCUGGGAAGAAGGGAGUCCAGAGCCAGAUGGCCACGCGGAGCCCGGUUCCCCUACGAGGCUUCACGCGCAACAAGAAAUCCAUUUAGGAGGAGGCGCUCUGAGGGUAAUGCCACUAAUUUGGGUCUGACGAGGAACACGGGAGCCGGCGACGAGAACCUUCGCCCGUCCCUAAAAGGAUCUCGCAGAGCCCAGAUGUGCUCGAUUCAGCUGUGUUUAUCCCUAGAGGUGCUUUUAAGAGGACGUGUUAUCAGGUUAUACACAGCGCACGGCGGCGAGAAAAGUCUUUAUUACAUUCACCAAACAGCUUCUUUAUUGUGUGGAACAAAAUGAGAGAAUGGAAGCAGACACUGACCUUCUCUCACGCGUGCAACACUAAGAUCUGUGUAAAACUACUGCAAAGUAACACAUCAGAUGUUUGUUUGUCUCCAGGGAGAACCACAGCCAGGCAUGUGUGACUUUUACAUUUAGAAUUAGAAACAAAAGCUUAACAACCAGUUUGACGCAAGUGUCCAGGAUGGUUUUGUUUCCAAUAAUUAUUUCUGGCUGAGCAGCUGAGAUUGUUUUUCUUAAUGCCACAUUUUAUGUCAGUUUAUGAAGUAAUUAGUUUAAAUGGAAUGUUUCAUUAUUGGUCUGUAAAAUUCUCCAGUCGCAUACCAGUAGUAUUUCUUUCUGUUCUUUUGUUUUUUGUUGACAUCAUAUGGAAAUAUGGUUGGAAAUUGGUGUAAAUUGGUCUGAAAUAGUAAAUGUAUAAAUAAUUAAAAAAUAUAUAUAGUAUAAAAUAAUAAUAGCAUAAUCAUCAGCUGAAACCAUGCUGAAAUAAAAAAGUUAAAAAAGCAAAGAUUCUCAGGCUGAAAAACAAAAAUGUCUGGUAUUAACAUUAAAAUGUAUUAUUUUAGUAUUAUUAUUAAACUGGUAUUACUGGUAUUUGAGCUAAUAUAAGCAUUACGGGGGCAGCCUUGGAUUCACCUGAUGACCUCACAACUGUAGCACCAGCAAAAAUAAUGAUGUGUUGUGUUUUACCACACGGACUAUAAUAUACUGGUGAGAACACAUAACAGAGCAACACCCACCUGACGUUUAACGCAGAGUAUUGUUACUGCAGCAGAGAGAAAGAGAAAGCUACUCCCAGCCCACAGUGAAGACAACCCAGCAGCCCACACAGCUCCCAGGGCCAUGACUAAGCCCAGUUUACAGGGACCCACAGAGCCACAGAUGCAGCCAUCCAGGUAUCGCCCACUCACACCUGUGUGUGUGUGUGUGUGUGUGUGUGUGUGUACGGUUCAUUUAUAGAGACCAGGAGAACUCAUCACAGGUUUGAAAUGAUGGAUUUUAAAAGGUUGAAGUCAUCAGCUGAAGGGGGUUGAGCAGUGAGUGAGUGAGUAGGUGUAUCUCAGUAAUGUGGAGCAGAUUGACUAGAUAACAAAUGAAAACUUGAUGAUUGGUUACUUAAUCACUCAGCGAGCUGAGUUCCGUGUUCUUGUUUGGAAACUACAGAUAUAUGAAUUCAUUAUAUGCAUGAUUAAUUAGGCAGCCAACAUCUAAAUACAUAAGCUAAUGUUAGCAGACAUAACAGCAUCAUAUUAUCUUACUUGUAUUCAAAUAUGAGCACCAACCUGUUUUUAUACAGUUCAUGUUGCACGCGACCUGAGGUGACCUUUCACUCCAGCGUGCGCGCUCGCGCCUGGGUUUCCAGCUGUCGAGCGCAAGGCGAGCGGCUGAUUGCAGCCACACUGGACACAAGUCCCCCCGAGCGGCGAGCGGAGGGGUGGGCGUGCGGGCGUCGAGGCAGAGCAGAUAAACGGACGGAGCCGUCCCAGAGGCGUGCGGGCGCUCUGUCAGGGCACGGCGUCCAAGCGCUGGCCUCCUCGCUCUGUCGCCGCCUUUGUUCCUGUCCUGGUCUCCCGGCGCUUUCAUCCCCCCCCCCCCUCCUCUCCUGUAGGUGACUGUGUGAUUACUACUGACACGGGGCGGAAGAGGCAAGCGUGCAUCUGCAAACGCGACAGAAGAAAUGCACUUGUGCCCAUUCACACUUGGCUUCUUCUCCUCCUCACGUCUGGUCCCGGCGCCAUCGCGCCGCUUCAAUUAUCGCCGCUUAUCCUUUAAAUAAUGCAUCUGAGUCCCUCUCUUUGAUCCCGGCAGGGCUGAAUAUUUCACUUGGUGGACUGCAGAGUCUUUAAUAGCAUCCGUCUCCCUUUGCAGGGUCUGUGUGGAAGCAGUUACCUCCCAGUCUGAGACCUGCCUGUAGCCUAGUGUUUACUACUGCUGUGACAUAUUAAUGGCGGCAAUGAGGACGACGCUCCGUCCUUGAUUUGAAAGCAUCCUUGCGGCAGUAAACAACAUUAGCGCUGCUGGCGGCAGUGCUCAUGAGCAGCCUUCAUCUCCUGCACCAGUCACAGGUGAAGGCGAAGCUCCGACAUCAACCAGUGCAGUUUAUAUUUCUAUUUUAAGUCCAUCCAUUUUUCUCUCUCUCUCUCUCUCCUCCGUCUCUUUCUCGGCGUUGUCUCCCGAGGAAUCCGUCCUAGCAUCACGAUUGCAUCACUUCACACCGUCUCUCCUCCGGGCGUGAAAUCGGCACAACAGCUGGGCUGUCAGGAGAACGGGGAGCAUCGUUUCAGAGGAGCCUCCCGACGCGCCGCCGCUGAGCCGCUGAACUCCAGAUGGGGUCGGCUCCUUCUCUUAUUAAAGAUUUAACAGGUUUGGGGGAGGAUGGCAUGUAGGAGUCAUAGCGAGGAUCUCAUCAUCUGCUCUGCUGCCGGAGCUGAUUCAUUGUGACUUGAAUAAACAUUAGGUGUUUCUGUCUGAA